AAUAGAUACCCCGGGUAGUCCACGCCCGUAAACGUUGGGCGCUAAGGUGUGGGGUUCUUUCCACGGAUUUCCGGCGCCGUAGCUAACGCAUUAAAGCGCCCCGCCUGGGGAGUACGGGCCGCAAGGCUAAAAACUCAAAGGAAAUUGAACGGGGGCCCGCACGAACGCGGCGGAGCAUGUUGCUUAAUUUCGACGCAACGCGAAGAACCUUAACCAAGGCUUGACAUCGCCGGAAAUCCCGCAGAGAUGCGGGGUCCUUUUUGGGCCGGUGACAGGUGGUGCAUGGCUGUCGUCAGCUCGUGUCGUGAGAUGUUGGGUUAAGUCCCGCUAACGAGCGCAACCCUUCGGUUUCCACUGUUGCCAGCACCUUUCGGGUUGGGGACUUCGAUGGGGACGACCCGACCGGGGGUCAACGUCGGAGGGAAAGGUGGGGAUGACGGUCAAGUCAUCAGUGCCCUUAUGUCUUGGGCUGCGAAACUAUGCUACAAUGGACCGGUACAGAGGGUCUGGCGAUACCGGUGAGGUGGAGCGAACUCCGUUAAAGCCGGUCUCAGUUACGGACUACGAACGUCGUCGCUAACGUCGUACGUUUCG
rnacentral:rRNA from 1 species